UUCCUACGGGUGGCAGCAGUAGGGAAUAUUGGACAAUGGGCGAAAGCCUGAUCCAGCCAUGCCGCGUGAUAGAUGAAGGCCCUCUGGGUUGUAAAUAUCUUUUAUCUGGGAAGAAACUCCUCUAUUCUUAGAGGCCUGACGGUACCAGAGGAAUAAGCACCGGCUAACUCCGUGCCAGCAGCCGCGGUAAUACGGAGGGUGCAAGCGUUAUCCGGAUUCACUGGGUUUAAAGGGUGCGUAGGCGGGCUGAUAAGUCAGUGGUGAAAGCUCCGAGCUUAACUUGGAAACUGCCAUUGAUACUGCCAGUCUUGAAUGUCGUAGAGGUAAGCGGAAUGUUGCAUGUAGCGGUGAAAUGCUUAGAUAUGUUACAGAACACCAAUUGCGAAGGCAGCUUACUAUGCGAUGAUUGACGCUGAGGCACGAAAGCGUGGGGAGCAAACAGGAUUAGAUACCCCAGUAGUCGA
rnacentral:rRNA from 1 species